ensembl:lncRNA
AAGUCUUAUGAUUGUACCCAUUAGACUAUAUUUACCAACUCAUUUAUUAACCUAGCUUACAAAAUGUGCAUCCCAAUCCAAAUGACGAUUACAAAUGGAAUAUUAACAUGACUCUCAUUCCUAUCUAGAACUUGAUGACCUCCGCUGCACGAACGCCUCCCAAGAACUGGACAACCUGGACAGCACGACCGUAUUAUUACAACCUGGACAGCACGACCAUCUACUACCAAGCCCCUGAAAACGGAAACAGAGGACAAUGUAAAUGGAGUGUAAAUAGAGUGAUGUGUUAAGAGUGAUGUGUUAAGCGUGAAUAAAAAAUGAAAAACAUUUCAUAUUGUAAU